AAAACAUCUCUUUAAGAUUAAAAUUUUAAGUUGACUCUGCCCAAUGAAUUUAAAUUUAAUGGCUGCAGUAUAUUAACUGUACAAAGGUAGCAUAAUAAAUUGUUUUUUAAAUGAAAGCUAGUAUGAAAGAGGUGAUGAAAUAUAAGCUUUUUUAGGUUAAAUUUUUGAAUUUUAUUUUUAAAUUAAAAAGUUUAAAUAAGUUUAAGGGACGAGAAGACCCUAUAGAAUUUUAUAAGUUUUAAUUUAAUAAAAUAAAAUAAUUAAGAUUUAUUUGUUUGGGAGGAAUUUUAAAAUUUUUGAACUUUAAUUUUUUUUUGACAUGUAUAUAUGGUUAGAAAGAUUUUUUAUUAGAAUUAUUAGAUUAAAUUACCUUAGGGAUAACAGCAUAAUAAUUUUUUAUAGUUCUUAUUGAAAGAAUUGUUU
rnacentral:rRNA from 1 species